rnacentral:tRNA from 1 species
GGGGAUUUAGCUCAGUGGUAGAGUGCUUGCCUAGCAAGCACAAGGCCCUGGGUUUGAUCCCCAGCUCA